rnacentral:tRNA from 1 species
CGUAGCGUAGCAUAGUGGUGUAGGCUGUUGUUGUGGAUCAGCUGAUCGUGGGUUCGAGUCCCGCGUGUACCA